rnacentral:rRNA from 1 species
GCAAGUCGAGCGAGAAAGCCCUUCGGGGUGAGUACAGCGGCGGACGGGUGAGUAACGCGUAGGAAUCUACCUAGUAGUGGGGGACAACUCGUGGAAACGCGAGCUAAUACCGCAUACGCCCUACGGGGGAAAGCGGGGGAUCUUCGGACCUCGUGCUAUUAGAUGAGCCUGCGUAAGAUUAGCUAGUUGGUGGGGUAAUGGCCUACCAAGGCGACGAUCUUUAGCUGGUCUGAGAGGAUGAUCAGCCACACCGGGACUGAGACACGGCCCGGACUCCUACGGGAGGCAGCAGUCGGGAAUAUUGCGCAAUGGGCGAAAGCCUGACGCAGCCAUGCCGCGUGUGUGAAGAAGGCCCUAGGGUUGUAAAGCACUUUCAAUUGGGAGGAAAGGCUAAUAGUUAAUAGCCAUUAGCCCUGACGUUACCUUUAGAAGAAGCACCGGCUAACUCCGUGCCAGCAGCCGCGGUAAUACGGAGGGUGCAAGCGUUAAUCGGAAUUACUGGGCGUAAAGCGCGCGUAGGCGGUUUUUUAAGUCGGAUGUGAAAGCCCCGGGCUCAACCUGGGAAUUGCAUCCGAUACUGGAUGACUAGAAUGCGGGAGAGGGAGGUAGAAUUCCAUGUGUAGCAGUGAAAUGCGUAGAUAUAUGGAGGAAUACCAGUGGCGAAGGCGGCCUCCUGGCUUGACAUUGACGCUGAGGUGCGAAAGCGUGGGGAGCAAACGGGAUUAGAUACCCCGGUAGUCCACGCCGUAAACGAUGUCUACUAGCUGUAGGGGUACUUGAGACCUUUGUAGCGCAGCUAACGCAAUAAGUAGACCGCCUGGGGAGUACGGCCGCAAGGUUAAAACUCAAAUGAAUUGACGGGGGCCCCGCACAGCAGUGGAGCAUGUGGUUUAAUUCGAUGCAACG